GGACUACCCGGGUAUCUAAUCCCGUUCGCUACCCACGCUUUCGUGUUUGAGUGUCAGGAACGCGCCAGUGCACUGCCUUCGCUUUCGGUAUUCCCCUAGAUAUCAACGGAUUUCACCCCUACACCUAGAGUUCUAUGCACCUCUCACGCCCUCGAGUCAUACCGUUUCGCCCGCAUUUCCCCGGUUGGGCCGGGGUAUUUAACAAACGACUAAUAUGACCACCUACACACGCUUUACGCCCAGUGAUUCCGGGUAACGCUCGGGGCCUCUGUAUUACCGCGGCUGCUGGCAC
rnacentral:rRNA from 1 species